rnacentral:rRNA from 1 species
AAGGAAAUAAGGGCGCACAGUGGAUCCUUGGCACUAAAUCGAAUUCCCGCGGCCGCCAUCGGAGGAUGCGACGUCGGCCAAUUCGCCAUAUGCGUGAGUCGGAUUACA